GCGCAGGCGCGGGCGGGGCGGCGGGUCGCGCGGGGCAGGAGGCUGGCGGACGAGCGGGAGCCCCCUGCCGGCGGGAGGACCGCGUACUGGGGCCUCGCGGGGGCUGCAGCGUGCGGGGCUUUCCCGCACACCGCCCGGCUUUUUUCCUACCUCCGUUCCCCACCCCCGCUUUCCUCCCUGUUCUGCCGGCUCUUUGAUCUUAUCUUCCUCUUACCACUUCCCUUUUCCCCCUUUUCACUCUUCCCUACUCUGCUUUCACUCUGCCCUGCAUUUAUAGUUAACAGAAGAAACUUAGUGUCGUUUUAGUCUUAACAUUCUCCGUAGGCAGUUUUAAACUUCAACAUUUCAGCGCAUCAUGAAAAUGGAUUCAAAAUAAGAAAAAGAACACCGUACACGGGUAUUCACCACUGCGCGUGCGCGGUGUGGCUGGACCACUGGAAAGGCCCCCACCCCAGGCCCGCGCCGCGUUCGCGUCUACACCGGCGCUCUCCCACAAACACCAGCAGGUGCAGGUCCCUGUACCGCCAACCGGGCCGUGGCACUGCUUGGUCUCUCGCCAUCACGUCUGUCUUCCAUUUUCCACGGAAACGCACGAAAUCAGUUUUUAACCCUGAUUGCGGUCUCACUCAGAGUUCAGAAGUUUGUAUGCUGUUUCAUUUUUAACCCUGUGGAGUCACUGGUAGACUACCAGGAAUGUCAGCAACCGGUGCUGAGGAACACAGCUCUGGGCCAAAGUAAGCAGCUGCCUGGCACCAGAACUCUCUAACUCCUGCUCUGCUGUGAAGGCUGGAGCCACCUGUGACAACACCAGCCCACUUUUUCAGCAAGUACUAAAGGCUCUAUGCAAGUCCUCUCAAGCAUCAGUCAAUCAGCAAGAACAUACUCUCUCAAAAGAAGCCAGACCUCAGCCAGAUUCAGGAGAAUGGACUAUGAGCCAGGAGGACCCCAUUCUCUGAGAGACUUCAAUCUCUCUGAACAUCAGUUCCCUCCUCUAGAAAAUGCAGAUCAUAAUGUCUCCCUAAUAGGACUGUUGGGAGGAACAGACUAAUUGAGAUGUCAACCAUCAUACACCAAAUACAGAGACUGGCACAUACCAUGGACUUUGUAAUUAGUAGCUGUAACUAUCUUCUAUCUUUUUAUUUCCCCAUAGUAGUUAGGAAUAUGGGAUAUCAAAAGCUGGGACACUUAACUCCACAGUAAUGAAUUUAUACUUGGUAAUUCCAACCCACAGGGGCAGAGGAAAUAUUUAAAUAGCCUGCAGAGGCUGGGCACUAUGGCUCACGCCAAUAAUCCUAGAACUUUGGGUGUAUAUGUGCUGUAUUUUCUGGACCACCAAGGCUGGUGGGCUGCUUGAGUCCAGGAGUUUGAGACAAGCCUGGGCAACAUGGUGAAAUCCUGUCUCUAUAAAAAAUACAAAAAAAAAAAAAAAUCGCCAGGUGUGGCGGUUUGUGACUGUAGUCCCCAGCUACUUGUGGGCCUGAGGUGGGCUCUUGAACCCAGGAGGCAGAGGUUGCAGUGAGCCAAGAUUGCGCCAUGGCACUCCAGCCUGGGCAACAAAGUAAGACCCUGUCUCAAAUAAAUAGUUUCCCAAAACAAUAUAUAGAAGCCUGAGAAAAAGCGGAGGCUCAUAGGCCAUGCAACACAGAACUCAAAGCAGUGCUUUCAUUCUCCUUCAACCUCAGAGUGAAGUUUCACCAUCACACACACAAAAAAUUACAUACAUAUUAUUUGUAUGUAAUAAACCAAUACAGACAAUCAACCCUUCUUUUUUCUUUCUUAGAGAUGAAGUCUUGCUCUGUUGCCCAGGCUGGGGUACAAUGGCAUGAUCAUAGCUCACUGCAGCCUCCAACUCUUGGGCUCUAGCAAUCCUCCCACCUCAGACUCCCAAGUGGCUGGUACUACAAGCCCUGAUCCUGCUUAAGGAUUCUGUGUUUGCAUUUCUGUGUUGCUGGUCAUUUAUGGUCCUGAUCAGGUUCAUGAGUGAAGGGGAGUAUCAAUAAGGAAGAAGGGAAAAGGUAGAAAAAGCAUCAGGAAGGCAGGAGGAAGGUUGGAGGUGGGAGGAGAUAUGGGGAAUUGAAGACAGUCAUUGUGAACUCGGAAUUUUGUGGGUAAGAUGGAAACAAGGCUGUGAUGCUUGCCUUGAAAUUGGGGACUUGAGGGAUUUGGAUGGAUAAACCAGAUUUUUAGGAAAUGUUGCUGCUCUGUGUUAUGCAAUGUAAUGUCUCUUUUUUGGGGUUUGGACUUAUGUUUCUUUUCCAUGUGGCAUUGUGCUAAAACAGGCAGUAUGUGGAUUGUAAACAUUGCCACAAAUUCUUCCCAUUUAUGUUGGAACACUCCACCACAUAAUUCUGUAGCUCCCCAGUCAAGAAAUGAUGUCUGUGUUUUCACCUCUUGGCCAUGUGACUUAGUUUGGCCAAUGGGACACUAGCAAAUGUGCAGCACACAGAGGCUUGCAAAGUGCGUGCAUAUCAGAACUUGCUGCUCUUGGAGACGUUUGAACCAUCACCCUUUGAAGGAGCCUGCCUAGGCUGCUAGAUCAGAGGGACAUAACAUGGUUUUCUCCAUGGGCCCUGCUGAUAGCCACUGCUGAACACAUGAGUAAGGUCACUGACUGGUGGCUGACAGCAUGCUUGUGUGAGCGCUGCUGCAAUCCCACAGAGCAGAGACCAGGCAGGAACAAGAAUGCCAAUAUUUCUUAGGUUUGUUAUGUGGUGGUGCUCUGUGCCUGGGGCUGAGUUAGUGCUCAACAAUUAGUAGCUUAUAAAAGAGCAGCUGCUGUCAACCAAACAGUGGGCCAUCACUGGAGCACUGAGGCAAUGUGAGUGUCCCUGGAGCACAUCGACUGUAACCUGCCUCUGAUGCAGGGAUCCCUGACACCAUGCCAAGAUGGUCCUGAUGUGCCUGGUGGCUUCUUGUGGCAGAGACUCCCCUGGCUGUCCAUCCCACAUAAAGAGUUGGGAUUAGUGACAUUCUGUCUGCUGUAUUUAGCCAAAAGCAGCAGCAUUGCGAGUGAGGAAAGAAUUUUAUUUUCAGAGUAAUCCUGGGUCAAGAGACGUGAGGUGAAGGAGAAAGACCAAUAUUUCUUUGAGUUCCCCUUUGCCUAUCCCCCUCCUCUACCUUAAGACAUCUGCUGGAGUUCUGAACUGUGACAGCCUCUUCCCUUGCAAUGACUCCAUUAAUUAGCUGGUCUGGGGUGAUUUAGGUAACACCUAUCCAAGGGUGUGAAGCCUCAGAAUCUGGGUUGAAGGGGGCUGAGAAAGGAAGGCCAAAGAGGUGGGCAUAGGAGAAGUCAAGGAAGAGGCACUGUGUCAUGUGUGCAAGGUGAGAGGCCUAUGGAACGAGACAAGGUAUGGUGUGAUGUAUGGCAGAUGUGCGUGCAGAGGAGAUGCCACACUCAGUAAGUAUGCUACGGCAUGAUUUUCUGUGCUCAAUGGACGAUUUGCCACAAGCUUUGUAGCAAAAGGAAGUUGACCUGGAGUAAGGUCAACUAGUGUCCUCAAGAUUUAAUAGCUUAUCAGUCACUCCUUCAUUAUUCAUCAAUAUUUACUUAACACUAAGUUCUGGGGAUGCAGUGACCAAAAUGUGAGAAGUAUCUGAACUCACGGAGCUUCUAUUCUAAAGGGGGAAGUCCCCAAUUAACAUCUUAUUACACAACAUAGUUUUGGGUGCAUAAAGCAGGGUGAGGGGUUGCAGAAUGUUUGAUGCCUCUAGAUGAUGUGGUCAGGAAAUAUCUUUCUGAGGCGAUGCUGUUUGAACAGAAUCCGGAAUUGGUGACAGCACCUCAGGCAGAGAGCACAGCGCGUGCAAAGGCCCUGAGAGAUGAUGGCGCUGGUGGAGGGUAGAGUCAGCCCCUGAUGGGACACUGGUUGGUGGGAGAUGCCUGCCCGUCAUAUGCAGGUAUCCCUAGGCCAUGGACAGCACCUUUACUUGGUUUACAGUAAGUGGGCUGGAAGCCUUUGAGGAUAGGGAACAGGGGAGUAACUUGAUCUGAUUUUCAUUCCUAAAGGAUUCUCUGACUGUUGCAUCUGAACAGAAGACUUUGGGGGCACCUUGGAAAGACAGAGCUGGGUGUGGAAGCUAGAGCAGUGGCUCCACUGCUGGGUGAUCUUGACAUGUAGGUCAACCUCUCUGAGUGGCAGAGUUCUUGUCCACACACUGGUGACAACUAUUAUACCAUUUCCCUCCCAGCAUUGUUAAGCAAUUUAGAAGACAUUGUUUUCAGGCCUGGCUCUGUGCCAGGCAUGUGGUGGGGCCCUGAGCUGUGUGGAGGACUGGGUAAGUGACAUACAUGGGUCUAGUAUGCUUCUAACACACAGCAAAGUUCAAGAAUGGUGACCAUGCCAGUGCCUUAAUUAUCAGUCAGUGGAUGUUCUAGCCUGAUAGAGGAAGAAGCUCUUGAUGUCAGAUCAAGGGCUACAACAAAGGGUCCAUGUGGGUGGUCUCUGUCACUCUGGAGACCCAGGCCAAGUGCUACAGAGACCUCACAGCACUCCCACAUAGUUUAUUGCUGGCUCCUACCUGCCUGCCAUUUUACUUCUUAAAUUCUGUGAUUUCUUAAGUAACUUGCAUUCAUUUGUCUUGUUUUGGCAUAUCUUAACCUUUUGUAGACUUUGUUUUUGGCAUAUUAAUGAUUCCACUGAGUCAAAAUCAACUUCCCUGUAGUUUCAAAUAUAAGUCUGCCUUGGUUUCCUCAAUCUAAGGGCUGCAACAGGAGCAUUUUGUGUCUUAUUAUUAUAUUAUUGUUAUUUUGAGAUGAAGUUUCACUCUUGUUGCCUGGGCUGGAGUGCAAUGGUAUGAUCUCAGCUCACUGAAACCUCUGCCUCCUGGGUUCCAAGCAAUUCUCCUACCUCAGCCUCCUGUGUAACUGAAACUACAGGCAUGCGCCACCAAGUCUGGCUAAGUUUUUUGCAUUUUUAGUAGAGAGGAGUUCACUGUGUUGGCCAGGCUAGUCUCAAACUCCUGACCUCAGGUGAUCGACUUGCCUCAGCCUCCCAAAGUGCUGGGAUUAUAGGCAUGAGCCAUCAUGGCUGGCUACAUUGCUGUUUAUUAGUUUCAUUAUUAACACAACCUCAAACAAAGUUAUAUUAAGAAACCAUGGCUUAGAAAGUGUACAUUUUGGCCAGGCACCGUGGCUCAUGCCUGUAAUCCUAGCACUUUGGGAGGCUGAGGCAGGUGGAUCACAAGGUCAGGAGUUCAAGAGCAGCCUGGCCAACAUGGUGAAGUCCCAUCUCUACUAAAAAUUCCAAAAGUUAGCUGGGCAUGGUGGCAUGUGCCUGUAAUCCUAGCUACUCAGGAGGCUGAGGCAGAAGAAUUGCUUGAACCGGGACAUGGGAGGCAGAGGUUGCAGUGAGCUGAGAUCAUGCCUCUGCUACAGAGACUCUUUCUCAAAAAAAGAAAAAAAGUAUAGUUUAUUUUAUUUUUAUUUUUAAGGUGGUAAAACACACACAAUAUAAAAUUUGCCAUUUUCACCAUUUUUAAGGCUAAAGGUCAGUGGCAUUUUUAAGGGUAAAGGUCAGUGGCAUUUUUAAGGGUAAAGGUCAGUGGCAUUUUUAAGGGUAAAGGUCAGUGGCAUUUUUAAGGGUAAAGGUCAGUGGCAUUAAGUACAUUCACAUUGUUGUGUGACUAUCACCACUGUUCAUCUCUGGAACUUUUCUUCAUUCCAAACUCAAACUCUGACUUGUUAAACAGUAGCUCCCCAUUUCUCCCUCCACCAGCCCCAACCACCGCUCUACUUUCUGUCUCUAUGGAUGUGGCUGUUCCAGUUCCCACACAGAAAUGUCAUCCUUCAGUAUUCAUCCUUUUGUAUCUGGCUUCUUUCACUUGGUAUUAUGUCCUCAAGAUUCAUCAUGGUUGUAGCAUGUGUCAGAAUUUUCUUCUGUUAUUGGAAAAACAAACUCUGUAAAACAUUUUAAAGAGGUUUGUCUGAGCCUCUAUUGCCAGAGUAGGUAGCCAAGCAGACAUCAGCAGGAUGGGAAAGGCCCCCACACCCCUGCCUAGGAAUGUCAGGCGACCAUCAGGUGAUGGUCAGGCAGUUGUUAAACUGUCUCUCUAAAAUAAUAAUUGGUUGCAGCUGGUGCCAGGGAAAGGCAGUCUCCAAAUUGAUAGAAACACCUGAAGAUGGUGAUCAGCAGCUUCCCGAUAAGUCUUGGGAAUUGGGCGAGUGGGCUCAUAAAUGUGCACCCAGAGACAAAAUGGCAGAGUUUAACUGGUAUAUGCCCUUCCUCUAGGAACACUUGACUGGUAAGGGAAAUCACCUCAAUUGAGUAUGUGCACAACUUCAGUAAACACAUUGCACAUGCAGCCCCUCCCAAGUGCUUUCAGGUCACUGUGCAUGUGAACAGCCUGCCCCAAGGAAAAAUCAAGGGAGGAGAGACCUAAACCACGGAACCAUGCCAAUAUAUGAAACCCCAAGUCAAAGGCCAAACAGUGUAUGUGGAUCUCUCAAGCUGCCCUCUUGGCCCUCUUCCAAGUGUAGUUUACUUCCUUCUGUUCCUGCUCUAAAACUUUUUAAUAAACCUUCACUCCUGCUCUAAAAUUUGCCUCAGUCUUUCACUCUGCUUUAUGCCCCUCGGCUGAAUUUUUUCCACCGAGGGAAGAAUAGAGUUUGUUGCACUCCCAUUGGAUUUGCUACUGCUGACAAUAUGAGUGACCAUGGCCAGGAGAAAACACAAACCCAAGAAGCCUUGAGUAAGUGAUCUCAGAGUGGUUGGAUUGCAAUUUGGUUUUAUACAUUUCAGGGAGACAAGAAUUGCAGGUAAAAUUAUAAAUCAAUAAAUGAAAGGUAUAUAGUGGUUUGGCUAGAAAAGGUAGGGCAUCUCAACUCGGGCUUACAAGUCAUAGCUGGGUUUUCAGGAUUCUUUAGUUGGCAAUUGAUUGCAGGAGUUAAGCUUUGUCUAAAGACAUGAAAUCAAUAAAAAGGAAUGCUAAGGGGGUCUGCUAUCUGUCACAUGAUGCUAUACCAGAGUCAGACUGGAAAAUAAGACACAUUACACUGGGUUAAUUUGGAAAAAACAAUUUAAGGAAAUUUUAUGAUUUGUAAGGUGUGAUUUAACCUUAUCCUUGCAUAGCCUUGGGUCUUAUCUAUUUAUUUGAGACUGAGUUUUGUUCUGUCUUAUUUAUAAUUCGGAAUCUUAUUGCCACAAAGAGUCAGUUAUAUCAGUCUUAUGAUCUCUAUUUUAAUAUAAGUGCUGGUCAGUUGCAUCUAAACUCCGAAAGAAAGGGGGUAUUAUGAGGCAUGUCUGACCUCCCUUCUUGUCAUGGCUGGAAAUUCAGUUUUUAAGGAUUUUCUGGGGUCCCCUUGGCCACGAGGGAGUCCUUUCAGUCAGUUGUGGGGACUUAGGAUUUUGUUUUUUUGAGACAAUCCCAAUCUAUUACCUAGGCUGGAAUGUAGUGGCAUGAUCUUGGCUCACUGCAAGCUCUGCCUCCCAGGCUCAGCCUUCUGUCUCACCCUCCUAAGUAGCUGGGACCAAAGGCAUGCACUCCUGUGGCCAGCUAAUGUUUUGCAUUGUUUGUAGAGAUGGGGUUUCACCAUGCUGCCCAGACUGGUCUCAAACUCCUGAGUUCAAGCAGUCCACCCAUCUUGGCCUCCAAAUGUGCUGGGAUUACAGCAUGAGGCACCACGCCCAGCCAGGAUUUUUUUUUUAGUUUAACCCUUCCUUCUUUAUGCUGAAUAAUAUUCGAUUGUAUGUAUAUGCCACAUUUUGCUUAUUCAUUUAUCCAUUGCUGAACAUUUUUUUUUCUACUGUGAAUAAUGCUGCUGUAAACAUGGGGUUGAAAUAUCUCUUUGAGACCCUGAGUUAACUUCUGGAAUCCCAGAAGUGAAAUUGGUGAAUCAUAUGAUAAUUGUGCUUUUAUAAAAUUAUGACAGUAAGGAAAAUCUGACAUAGUUGACUCCAUCUUGCUUCUAACCUCUAAGCUGUCCUUGGUCAUUCUUGGGUAUAGGCCAAGAUAACUUUGGGAGGAAUUUAUUUUUAUAUUAUUCUUAUUUUUUUGAGAUGGAGUCUCUAUCACCCAGGCUGGAAUGUAGUGGCACGAUCUCGGCUCACUACAACCUUCGCCUCCUGGGUUCAAGCGAUUCUAUUGCCUCGGCUUCCCAAGUAGCUGAGAUUAUAGGUGCCCACCACCACACCUGGCUAAUUUUCAGAUUAUUAGUAGAGGUGGUAUUUCACCAUGUCAACCAAGCUGGUCUCCAACUCCUCAGCCUCAAGAGAUCCGCCCACCUUGACCUCCCAAAGUGCUGGGAUUACAGAUGUGAGCCAUCAUUAAUUGAAAGUAAGGAUGACAAUAGUCCCUCACUAAAACUAACCCCCUUCUUGCUCAGGGACUGCAAACCACCUUUGUAAGAUUAAUGAAAGGCCACAAGAAUAUGGGAGGGGUCUGAACUCUGCUGAGAUAUAGGCAUAAUGUCUAUAAUCCCUUCCUGCUCAGGAGUCAUGGGACCAGAGGUCACAAGAUUUGUGACUUCCAGUCGAGCAUGGUGGCUCACACCUAUAAUUCCAGCACUUUGGGAGGCUGAGACAGGUGAAUCACCUAAGGCCAGGAGUUCGAGACCAGCCUGAGCAACAUGGUAAAAUUCUGUCUCCACUAAACAUACAAAAAAACAAAAAUUAGCCAGGCAUGGUGGCGGGUGCCUGUAAUCCCAGCUACUCAGGAGGUUGAGGCAGGAGAAUUGCUUGAACCUGGGAGGUGGAGGUUGCAGUGAGCCAAGAUUGUGACAUUGUACUGCAGUCUGGGUGACAGAAUGAGACUCUGUCUCAAAAAAAAAAGAUUGUGACUUCCCCAUUGGUUCGUAUGAGAUAACAUCACUAUUGGAGAACCUAAGAUUUGUCUUUUGAGAUGUCUUUCUGGGAACUGAGUGACCCCGCCUAACUGACCCUGCCUGGACCCAUGAUUCAUGACCCAACCAGUCCUGUGGCGUGACCCAGAGGCAGACUCAGUGCACAAGGACAUUUUCUACACCCUUAUGAUUUCAUCCUUGACCAAUCAGUAGCACCCAUUCCCUAGCUCCCUGCCCAUCCACCAGAUUGUCCAUAAAAACCCUAAUCUCCAAGUCCUCAGGGAGACGGAUUUGAGUGAUAACUCUGGUUCUCCCAUGUGGGCUGGCCUGGUGACAGUUAAACUUUCUCUACUGCAAUGCCACAGUCUCAGUGAGUUGAUUUUAUCUUUGUAUCAGGCAGGAGGAACUCACUGGGUGUUUACAAUAAUUGUAUUUUUAAUUUUUUAAGAAACCACCACACUGUUUUCCAUAGUGGCUGGACCAUUUUAUAUUCCUACCAACAGGGUACAAGUGUCCUAAUUUCCCCACAUGUUCACCAACACUUGUUAUUUUCUGUUUUGUUUUAUUGAUAGCAGCCAUACCUAAUAGGCAGGUGCAAAGAGGUAUCUCAUUGUGGUUUCGAUUUGUAUUUUCUUAAUGACUAGUGAUGUUGAACAUUUCUUCAUGUGCUCAUUGGCCAUUUUACAUCUUCUUUGGAGAAAUGUCUAUUCAGAUCCUUUAUCUAUUUUCUGAUUGGAUGGUUUUAUUGUUGUUGAGUUGUAGAAGUUCUUUAUAUAUUCUGGAAGUUCUUUAUAUAUUCCUUAUCAGAUAUAUAAUUUGCAAAUAUUUUAUCUCAUCCUGUGGGCUCUCUUUUCACUCUGUUGAUUGUGUCCUUUGAUGCACAGAAGUGUUAAAUUUUCAUAUAGUCCAAUUUAUCAAUUUUUUCUUUUGUUGCCUAUAUUUUUGGUGUUGUAUCCCCAAAAUAAUUUUUAAAUUGUUCAACAAUGCUGUGAGGGAAAUGGUAAAAUCCAAUGUCAGGAAGCUUUUCUAAAAUAUUUUCUUCUAAAAACUUCAUAAUUUUAGAUUUUACAUUUAAAUCUUUUAUCAAUUUUGAGUUAAAUUUUGUAUAUGGUGUAAGAUAAGGGUCCAAUUUCAUUCUUUUGUAUGUGAAUAUUCAGUUUUUCCAGCACCAUUUGUUGAAAAGAGUCUAUCCUUUUCCAAUUGAAAAGGGGAAACAAGUCUUGGCACUCUUGGGAAAAUCAUUUCACUGUAUAAUGUGUGGAUUUAUUUCUGGGCUUUUUUUUUUUUUAAUUUGAACAGGUCUUUUUCUGUCACUCAGACUGGAGUGCAAUGGCAUGAUCAUGGCUCACUACAGCCUGGACUUUCUGGGCUCAAGCAAUCCUCCUACCUCAGUCUCCCAAGUAGCUGGGACCACACGCAUGCACCACAACACCCAGUUAAUUCUUUUAUUUUAUUUUUAUAGAGACAAGGUCUUGCUAGGUUGUCCAGGCUGGUCUCGUAUUCCUGAGCUCAAACAAUCCUCCUGCCUUGGCCUCCCAAAGUAUUGGGAUUACAGUUGUGAGCCACUGCGCCUGGCCUAUACAUGUCUAGCUUUGUGUCAGUAGCAGGUUUUUUUUGAUUACUGUAAAUUUGUAGUAAGUUUUGAAAUCAAGAAAUGUGAGAUCUGCAGUUUUGUACUUCUUUUUCAAGACCAUUUUGGCUCUUUAGGGUCCCUUGAGAUUCUAUCUGAAAUUUAGGAUGGAUUUUUCCUUUUCUGCAAAAAUGUCACUGGGAUUUUGGUAGAGAUUGCACUGAAUCUAUAGACCAUUUGGGUUAUAUUGGCAUCUGAAGAAUAUUGUCUUCUAGGCCAUGAACACAGGAUGUCUUUCCAUUUAUUACUGUCUUCUUUAAUUUUUUUCAGCAAUAUUUUGUAGUUUUCAGUGUACAAGACUUUUGUUUGCUUAGCUAAGUUUAUUGCUCUGUAUUUUACUCUUCUUAAUGCUUUUGUAAACAGAAUUGUUUCCUUAAUUUUCUUUUUGGUUGUUAAUUGCUAAAGUACACAGACAAAACUGAUUUUGCAUGUUGAUUUUGUAAGCUACAAUUUGGCUAAACUUGUCUAUUAGUUCUAACAAGUGUGUGUAUGUAUAACAAAAAUUUUUUUGUAAUAAAGGAAUUUUAUUCUAUUCUUAUUUUUUCAGAUUUGGGGCACAUGCGCAGGUUUGUUACUUGGGUAUACUUCAUUCUGCUGAGGUUUGGACUUCUAAUGAUCCUGUCACCCAAGCAGUGAACACAGUACUUGAUAGAUAGUUUUUCAACCCUUUUGCCCCUCUCUCCCUCUCCCUGGCAUAUUUUUAAAGCACUUUCAAAACCAUCCUCUCCCCAGCUAUUAGAAGGUUAUACAUGAAUGCUCCUUGCAUAUAAUGAAUACCGAAUGCAGAUGUGUAGAGAAUCCUGACCAUGCCACACUGGCACCUGUGAAGACAGAAAAGUAGAUGAUGAUUGCUAAGGUGCUUUGAAUCCCCAGUUACACAAAAUCAAGCGUAAACGGUUGAUAUUCCAGGCUGAAAGUGUUGACAGAAGAGAGGUGCAUUUAAGCGCUCUUUUCAGAGGUUUUCACUUGUCUUUGUGUUAAAAUCUGACCCCGAAUAAAUUUCAAUUGUGCUUAUCCUGGCAUGUUAGAACUUCACAGAAAAUGGUAAAUAAUGUUGAGUAAAAAAUUGCUUUGAUUUGCAAGAUCUCCUGCCACACCAUGAAUGAGGUAUAAAUAGUUUUCUAAUUUAGGAAAAACAGUGAAAAGAUUUUCCUGCUUGAGAAAGGCAGUUGUACCUACUGUCAAAGUAAUUGAAAGGACUUACUGAAAACAUCGGAACAGGAGAACACAGAGGUUAGAGAAUUUCUUGAGUGUCAAUUAGAGCUACAAAUAUAGGAUGUGUGUAUUGCGGCUAUACGUAUAACUGCAAGGAACAGGAUGUGACUCAAAAAGUGAGAUAACUUGCAGCUGCUUCCACUAUUUAGGGGCUUGUUCUGGGGUCAGCUCUCCCCUCUGCUGGGCCCUGUCCUCCAAGUGAUAAAAGGGAAGGGAACCACAUAUGCAGUUGCUGCCUAUGGGGUGCAGAACCAAGACACCUUCACCUUGCCGCCAGGAACCCAGGACAUCUACAACUGGACUCUGGGAAUAUGCUCUUCAGCCCUGUCACAGAUUAUCUUCCCUCCAGAUGGGGAGGCUAGGAUUACAACAGGUGGAACCAUAGGCAUUUGCAACCCUGAACCUCAUCAGGGUCUGUGAGGAGCAGACAGCAGAACGUAGCAGCUCUCUUGAGUACAUGGGUUCAGUAAGUUAAAGCCUUCCCCCUUCCUCUUUCACCUGAGGGACAGAUUACUAUCUAACUCCCCCAGACCUUGCAUGGCCCUGUCUGUAAUUACUGUUUCCUUUAAUUUCUGGUGGUGCCCCUCAUUAUAGUCCAUUAACAUAAUGAGAGGGUCCCAUCGCCUGGCAACCAGGGAUGAACAGGUUUGGGUUAGACUCUGACUCAUUGUGUUCUGUUGAACAGCCUCCAGUUGUGUCUGCUCCUGGCUUACCUCACUUCUGCGGUCCCAAGAAUGCAAACUGCCGCCAGGUUCAGCCGGGCUCCGCUCCCCACCUCCACUCCCCACCUCUCCUAACUCUGGCUGACCUACAUAGUCUUUCCUGAGUGCACUGAAAUAGCUGUUUUCAUUCCUGCUCUUCCAUCCUGAUGGCUUUCCCUUUCUCAAUGCAGCAGAUUCCCCCUCCCAACAAUAUUGCACAUUUGGCGUCAAUUCCACUUACCUCACAUGACUUUCUAGAUGGUUUUAUUCCUACAAAAAGCAACUGAUUAUUAUUGUUCCUGUCUGUUCAUGUUGUUUUACUUAUAUUAUUAUUUUACCUCCUCCUUGUGUGAUUACAAAUCAUAAGAAAAAUAACACCUAUGAUCUCAGCACUUUGGGAGGCCAAGGUAGGAGGAUCGCUUGAGUCCAGGAGUUUGAGACCAGCCUUGACAACAUAGUGAGACCCUUAUCUCCAAAAAAAAACCUGAAAAAUUAGCCAGGUAUGGUGGUGCACACCUGUAAUUUCAGCUACUACGGGGGUUGAGGCAGGAGGAUUCCUUGAGUCCAGGAGUUCGAAGUUGCAGGGAGCUCUGUUCACACCACUGCACUCCAGCCUGGGCCACAGAGUGAGACUCUGCCUACAUAUUUAAAAAAAGAGGGGGCACCAAGAUGGCCAUGAGAAGGCAACACUGGAACGCAGCUCCCAGUGAAUGAGACACAGAGGGCUAGAGGACUUCAUGAUUCUGAACGAGGUGCUGGGUUCGUUUAGCUGGGACUGGUAGGGCAUUGAAAAUAGCCCAGGGAGAGAGUCACAGGGCGAGAGUUGCCCAAGGGGGAAAAUCAAUACGAGGGGAUGGGCCAUGUCCCCACCUGAAAUGCGCAGUUGGGGGACUUCACCCUCUCGGUGCUCCAAUUCAGAUCCCGUACUUACCCCAUCCCUCCGACAACCCCACAUCCAUGAGAGCCCUGCCAGACUGUGGGGCACCGUGGGUUGUCAAUGCAAAUCUGAGCAGUGGAUCCCGCCCAGUGCAGCAAGUUGUCACACAGACCUGGGCGGAAGUUUGGACUAACAGGAUGGACCAUCCCACAGAGGGAGGCAGAGUUGAAAGCAGGGAAACAGACGGUAAGGCCUGGCAGGCCUCACCUCCACAGAAUUCAAACUGAAGCUCUCGCUAGAGAGCUUGGCAGCAAAUACACCAGUUUGACCCCAGUCAGGAAGAUCAAGCUCUGGGAGAGAUGCUGUUGGGAAGGUGGAGCCAAUACUACCUGCAAACAAACCCCAGGGAAGGACCACCACCCAACAACCUGACUGAACCUAAGAGAGCCCAGCAGCUCCCUCUACAGGCCAAAAAAGAUACAGCUCCAACCUUAACAGGGAAAAAGUCCACUCAGACUCCUCCUGAAAUCACCAGCUUCAAAGAUUAACGGGUUAUAAAUCCACAAAGAUGGGGAAAAAACCAGCGCAAAAAGGAUGAAAACAUCAAAGAACAGAACAC